rnacentral:lncRNA from 1 species
UUCCACAUAGGAUUUUACUUGUUAACUAAAUUAACAAAUAGAUGUCGUAAGUAUUGAGAAAGUAUUUUACCAAAAAAAAAGUAUUGAGAAAGUAAUUACCGUGACAGAGAAUUCUAAUAGUGGUAUGGAGGAGGAGGAGAUUUGUAGAGGUAAGGAUGGUGUGGGGGAGAGUAGUGGUGGACUGGAGGAGGAGGUGACUUAUAUACGUACUUUUUCUUGGGUGGUGGUGGGGAAUGAUAAACCGGAGGAGGAGAGUAGUGCUUAACCGGAGGAGGAGGGGAUUUGUAGACGUAGUGCUUCUUUGGUGGUGGUGGAGAAUGGUAAACCGGUGGUGGAGAAUAGUGUUUAACUGGAGGAGGAGGGGAUUUGUACACGUAAUGUUUCUUUGGUGGUGGUGGGGAAUGGUAAACCGGAGGGGGAGAGUAGUGUUUCACUGGAGGAGGAGGAGAUUUGUAGACGUAGUGUUUCUUUGGUGGGGGUGGGGAAUGGUAAACUGGAGGAGGGGAGUAAUGCUUAACCGGGGGAGGAGGGGAUUUGUACACGUAGUGUUUCUUUGGUGGUGGUGGAGAGUGGUAAACUGGAGGUGGAGAAUAGUGCUUAACUGGAGGAGGAGGUGAUUUGUACACGUAGUGUUUCUUUGGUGGUGGUGGAGAGUGGUAAACCGGGGGAGGAGAGUAGUGUUUAACCGGUGGUGGAGGAGAUUUGUAGACAUAAUGCUUUUUAGGUGGGGGUGGGGAAUGGUAAACUGGAGGUGGUGAGUAGUGUUUAACCGGAGGAGGAGGAGAUUUGUAUACGUAAUGUUUUUUGGGUGGUGGUGGUGAAUGGUAGACUGGUGGGGGAGAGUAGUGCUUAACAGGUGGGGGUGGAGAUUUGUACACAUAGUGCUUCUUGGGUGGUGGUGGAGAAUGGUAAACAGGAGGAGGAGAAUAGUGUUUAACCGGAGGAGGAGGGGAUUUGUACACAUAGUGCUUCUUUGGUGGUGGUGGAGAAUGGUAAACCGGUGGUGGAGAGUAGUGCUUAACCGGAGGAAGAGGGGAUUUGUACACGUAGUCCUUUUUUGGUGGUGGUGGAGAGUGAUAAACCGGUGGUGGAGAAUAGUGCUUGACCGGAGGAGGAGGGGAUUUGUAUUCGUAGUGUUUUUUAGGUGGUGGUGGAGAAUGGUAAACUGGAGAGGGAGAGUAAUGCUUAACAGGAGGAGGUGGAGAUUUGUAUUGGUAGUGUUUAACCGGAGGUGGAGGAGAAGAGUAGAAAUAGUUAGCGGUUGAUUGAGAUACGAAGGUGAGAGAGAUUGUCAAGACAAGCAAAGUUGCUACUAAAGAGGCCACUGGAGACCCCAUUGAUUGUUUU